UGGGUACUUUAAACAGCACAGGCAGUACCAGCAUGAAUGUCGAUAUCCCCCCAAAGGCUAAUAUUGUGUCUGUCAGUGGCUUUUAUGCGGCCACCACAGCUGCUUUUUGGCUUUACUACCAUACAGCCUCUGCAAAUGAUUACUGCACUGACAUAAAAGUCUACCAAAUGUGCAAAUCAGUGCCCCUAUCAUUAUGCAAUUUGCAUGGAUUAGUGUUUUACUCACAUCACAUAAAAGCCUAGUAGACUGAUGUUCAGCUUCAGCUUGGUGCCUACAUGAAACCGUGGUGUGCUGUGUGGCAAUUUACUGACUGAGUAAGAAAAAGUAGGAUGAAACUCACAGCAUGGUCAAAGACGGCCUCGUGUACACUCAAGAUGUUUAAUUAUUGUGAUGUAAGACACUGGCUGUGUCGUUGCUUUGGCUAAAUCUGUUGGCUCGGUGAUUAACAGACUAGUUUUCACGUGCACAAAUGGGAAUGUUCAAUGGAUGUGAACUUUAUUUUACAGUGUAUUUAGUUUCUGAAUUGCAUGUUUAUUUGUGCGAGUAAUAUGUGACUUCUGUAAGGGGUUUACACAGUGGUGCAGCAGGUAACGGUGCCGCCUCACAGUUCCACUAUCCCCAGUUUGACCAUGAGCUCGCAUUACUGUGUGUGGAGAAUCACGUGUUCUUCCUGUGACCACGUGGGUUUCUUCUAGUUUCCUCUCACUCUACUCUUUCUUUAUAAUUGCCACGCACAUUCAUGUAUGCAGAUGUGUUUGUGGUGUCCUGCGAUUUACUGGUGCCCCAUCCAGAGUGUAUUUCUAGUGUUCCAGGGAUGAGCUAUGAAUUCAGCACAACAUUGACCAGGAUAAAGUGGUUAGUGAAAAUGAAUGAAUGAUGAGCUUUAUAGGUGUAGACAGGGGCAUUAUGAGAACUCUUUCAAAAUGCCUGGGUCCAGGGGAUAGAUUGGAAAUUAAUUGGUGGGUACUAACAGGAGUGGUGAAGGUACUUGUUAUUAUAUGUUGAGUUCCCAACAAAAGUAGCAUGGUGUUUCAGCAGGUAGCAUUGCCACCUCACAGCUCCAGGGUUCAAGCCAGUUCUCUCUGGGUUUCCUCCAGUUUCCUCCAACCUCACAAAAACAUGCCAGUAGGUGGUCAGGCUAAGAUAAAUUGCCCCUUAGCAUGCAUGAGUAUAUAAAUAUGUGCGAGCAUGGUGUCAUGGCACCCCAUCAAAGCAUGUGGGUGAAACGGAGCAGUGUGACACUGAACUCAAUAAUCUGCUCUAUGCAAGUGCGCUCUGCUCAAUCACUCACGUCCCAAGCAAACACUCCACUCGUACUGCUCACGCUCACCGAUAAAACAAAGUUCGCUCAAAUCCUGCUCUGACAUAAAAUUUCUCUGUAAUAUACUUGUUUCUAUUUUCUUGAAUAAAUGCCUCAAUUACAUUAGUAGAGAUAAUCAUUUUUGUGUGUGACAUUCUGUGCCUUUUAUUCAUUUCUAUUAAUUUUUAAUUCCUAUUUAAAUGGUAAAUGGCACACUUAUAUAGCACUUUUAUCCAAAGCACUUUACACUGUGUCUCAUUCACCCAUUCACACACACACCCCAGUGGUAGCAGGAGUUGCCAUGCUAGCUUACCAUCGGGAGCAAUUUGGGGUACAGUGUCUUGCCCAAGGACACUUCGACAUGUGGAGUCACCCGGGCCAGGAAUCGAACCGCCAACCCUAUUAGCAGGCAACCCGCUCUACCAACUGAGCCACAGCCGCCUAUUUCUCAGUUUUCGGAAUCUUAAGAAAGGUGGAAUUAUCAGUGCUCCGCUAUCUGCUCCACUCUGCUCACAUGCUCUGCAUCCCAUCCAGGGUGUAUUCCCGCCAUCUUGCACCCAGUGUUCCUGGGAUAGACUCUGGAUCCACCGUAACCCUGACCAGGAUAAAGUGGUUCAUGAAAAGAUAGGUGAUGCCUCCCUCCCUGGAUACCUACAUUCUCUGAUCACAGGUCUGUGAAGUGGAGUGACAGUGUGGAGCAGUGGCAGUGAUCAGGAGUGGAGUUCUUCCUGCAGGGCUAUUUGGACAGGAGGAGCCUCCGCUGGCCUUCAGAGCUGGAAAGUAUGUGUACUGUGGCCACUGGCCCACCUCCCAGCCUGGGAACGGAAGCCGGGAGUCGCCAGGGAAAACAACUAGACAAUCAGAUAACCUUUAAGAAUGCCUUUGACAAAAGAAGAACGUAUUGAAAUCAUUCUCAUGGUUGGAUCAGGAAGCUGUCGCAAGGUUGCGAUGGACUUUAACAGGAACCCUGGUAAGCACAUCACACACAACACUGUUGCCAAACCUAUUAACAAAUUCAAAAAGACUAGAAGUGUUGCAGACCGACCUAGAAGUGAACUUUCACGAACAUCCACUGACCUUCGUGGUGUACAAGCAGCGUGGUAUAUGGAGACUUUGGACACCCUGUAUUUACUUGGUAUUAGAAGCAUUGGAAGCAUUCUUAGUAUUACAGUAUCAUGCGGUAACCUGAUACAGAGCAGUGUAAUUAUUAGUAAGGACAGGGUUAGAAAUAUAUAAUCAUGGUGUGAUUGGGAACUCAAUCUGCUUCUUGAGCUGUUCCAAAAAAAACCAAAAAAACACACACACACCUGUGUAACUCAUGACAUUUUCAUAAUGCCAUACAAUUGGAUUUUAUUAUACAUUUUGCAUUAAUAUUUUUGUAUUUUGUACACUGGCUUGUAGCAAAUGUGUUUCCUAUCAUCUUGUGUGCAUCUGUGGGUGUUGACUCAUGUGUUAGCACUCUAGAUCAUUUUUAGGAUGUUUUUAUAUUAGCUCAUUCUUUGUCUCUAUGUUGCCAGUAAAUUUGGUGAGUCUGGUAUUUAAUUAGUUUUCUUAGACAUUUUAUUGAUCAUAUUAAUUAUAUGAAGUUCAUUGUCAGUUUAGAUGUCUCAUUUAUGUUUAAUAGCUAAAACUGAGUUGUUUCAGUCAGUUUAUUUUGGAGUAGGAUGACAUAAAAAGUCUGCAGUUACAUCUCCUAAAACAGGUUGUAAGUAACGUAACAGGACAUUUUAUAUUCUGUCCUGAGAUGGCAUUGCAUUUGCGCUAAGUGUUGAAUUUGGCAGGCGGUAACGGAAACGCAAUUUUGGACCAGCAAAAUACACUUUCGCCUGCAUAACAAUUGAGGCCACGAUACCAAUGGUAAUUCGAGAAACUGCAUUUCGAGUCGAAAAAAUGCUCAUCUAACCCAUUCAGAUAGUUGAUUAUUACAAAACUAAAUACAUCAGUCCCUUAGCUCCCGUCUGCAGCAUCUACAACCCCCCAGUUUAAAGUCCAGGUGUGUUUCAUGUCCAUCUGUAGCCCAUAAAUAAUCUACAAAUCAGCUGUAUGCUUUUCAGUGAGAGGCUUACUCAUGGGCCUCCAUCUGUCUUUCUGAGGAAAUUCUAUCCUUACAGCUAUGUUAAAAUUCUUAAGUUCUCUCACCUCUCAAGCAAAUGUGUAGCAGGAGAACACGAUUGUGGGGCAGGCUACAGGACUGUCCCACGCAGCUGUAGGGAAUUCACUGCCACUCAGCUCUAAUGAGCAGAGAAAAUGUGUCAGCUCCAAUAAAGCGAGAGACAGAGAGGGGUGUGUGAGAGAGAGAGAGAGAGAGGGAGAGAGAGAGAUUUCAUUUCUUGCCGUGUAGCAUUUAGACCUUCCUUUUCAACAAGGUGCUUUAUUUACACUUGUCUUUCAUACCAGUAGAAUCAAGAGGCUGUUCUCAAAGCAGUACUAGAGUAACAUAGUGUCCUUGCAUAAUGUGUCCUACAGGAACCAUGACCUAUAAGACCACAGAGACGGUAUUGUGUUUUUGUACUAAAUGAACUAUGGUACGCUGAAUAAACUAGCAUCUGAUUUGUGUCUUCAAACAACUGUAAAAAUUAAAAACUUUAAUGUUUCUCUGGCUCUUAAUGUCUGAUCCAUUCAGAGAGUCUGCAUUUUUCAUUAUCAUUUUUUAAAAUGACAUGCUGGUGGUGGAGAUUAUUAUUACUACCAGUUUUUACUAUUGUUAUUAUUUAGUUAUUAAUGUCAUAAGUCCAGUUGAAUGGGUUUAAAAUUAUGUCAGUCACACAAACAUGUUUCUUAAAGGAAGUACUUAAUUUCCUCUGUGACUUAAAUAAAUAACGUCAACUUGAACUGUAAUUUUCAUAGAACUAGGAAAAGUGAUCAAAUGAUCCAAGUGGUUUGGGUUUCUGUUUGUGGAAAUUCAGGAAUUAAAAUUGUCUAAUGGCUCUAAUAAAUAAAUUUGAUGGUAUGCGUUUGUCUAAUGUGCCUAAUAUUUAAACAUUUGGAUUAUGUUAAUACAUUAAAUCUGUGCUCGUAACAGGUUCCAUGGAAAUGCUUUUACGCUGGAAGGGACUUUCUUUAUCACAUUCUUUAUUACUAAAGGCAUUUGAAAUUAUAUGUGGGUUUUUUUGUGCCAGCUAGUAUAUGAGGUGCUCAUGAGGAGGGUAGGCAAGUGGGGCUAAUGAGGCUACUUUGUGCAUGUGUGUGUGUGUGUGUGUGUGUGUGUGUGUGUGUGUGUGUGUGUGUGUGUGUGUGUUUCCCUGUGUUUGUGGUACGUGCCUCAGUGACUGUCCAUAGUCUCAGAGGGAUUGAACUGAUUAAAGCAGGGAUGAAAGUGGGGGACAGUAGGAAAGAAGGGGAGCAGGCUGAGACAGUUUCUAAGGGACGUUCGAGUGGACGUGACAUCCCCAGCUGGGCUGUGACAUCACUGCUCUGCUGACAGGAAGUGAGGGAGGUAUUAGGGAAAGGGGGCUGUUGUGGUGGUGAACGGAGGGGUGGUGACAUCAGAAUACUGUCUGGUACACACAGCUGGGUAAACCAGGGAACUCAGACCAUACUCUCUGAGAGUGUGUGUGGAUGUGAUUGUGUUGUUAGAAUUCCUUUUGUGUUCGAAUUUUAAUUACAUUAACAAACCUUGAAUGCAUUCACAAGCCUAUACUUAUAUACUGCUGCAGAAAUUUUAUUAGAAAUGUAAAAUAAAUGUUUCAGAUUAAUUUUUAUUUUAUUUAUCACAGUAAUGCUUUUUGUUUAUGAUAUUUAGAGUUUUCAUUUCCUAGGCUUCUUGGGAUUUAUUGACAAGUUGAGGAUGAAAAGUGUGAAGUUUCCACAGUCAGUGAUGAUUUGGGGGGCCAUGUCAUCUGCUGGUGCUGGUCCACUGUGUUUUCUCGAGUCGAGAGUCAAUGCAGCAUCUACCAGGAGAUUUUAGAGCACUUCAUACUCCCAUCUGCUGACAAAAUUUUGGAGAUGCUGAUUUCCUUUUCCAGCAGGACUUGGCACCUGCCCACAGUGACACAACUACUAGUAACUGGUUUGCUGAGCAUGGUAUUACUGUGCUUAAUUGGCCAGCCAACUCUCCUGACCUGAACCCCAUAGAGAAUCUAUGAGAGACACCAGACCCAACAAUACAGAUGAGCUGAAGGCCGCUAUCAAAGCAACCUGGGUUUCCAUAACACCUCAGCAGUGCCACAGGCUGAUUGCCUCCAUGCCACGCCACACUGAUGCAGUAAUUCAUGCAAAAGGAUUAAAGCCCCAACCAAGUAUUGCGUGCAUAUAUUUACAUACCUUUCACAAGGUUUACAUUUCUGUAUUAUAAAUUCUUUACUCUAAUAUUUUGAGAAACUGGAUUUUUUAUUUCCAUGAGGUGUAAUCAUCAAGAUUAAAACAAAAAAAGGCUUGAAAUAUUUCACUUUAUAUGUAAUGAAUCUAGAAUAUAUGAACGUUCCACAUUUUUUAUUAAAUUACAGGGGGAAAAAUGACCUUUUCCACAAAAUUCUAAUUGUUUGAGAUGCACCUGUAGUAUAUUAUUAUAUAGCCUAAUAGAGCAUAAUUUGAUAUAGAGACAAAAAAAAGACCUACAAUAAGUAGCUGUUAAUUCUCACCUAUUUACACGUAAUAUCACAUUGCAAAUUUAAAAUAUGUAACUAAUAAUAUGAUAAUAUGGGGGAAUAUUGGGAAAAGUAGUAAAUAAAUGAUAUGCAUUUAUUCAGCUCUCUUUUCCAAUAUCAAGUAACAUCUAGGUAAGGGUUUAGGAAAUGCAUGUUUCAGCAGACUUCUAUUAGGCAACUUAAAGUGUAGUAUGCGAUCAGGGAAAUUUGUUCUGACAGCCAUAUUUGAAAUAUAGACUCAGCUCUGCUGUCUGUAUCCAAACCACUUAGCCUCUGUCUGCCACUGUCUUAGGCUCAAACACAUACACACACACACACACACACACAGUUUGCACGAAAAGGCAUUCUUAAUGGAGAAUUGCAGUAGUGUAAUAUUUGCUUUCCUGACUUUAUGAGCAAAUUUGUUUCCUUGUUUAGGGUAUAGCUUACACACACUCUUACGCUCACUCAUUUCUCAAUAUGCUUGCCUCAGACCGUAUCAACAUUACACACAUGUAUGCAUGUAAUCAAUUGGUCAUGCAGGAAACCCUUCUCUCCCUCAGCAGUACUCUGAUACACAUAUAAAUGCAUAAUGUCAUUGCCACAAAGCACAAACACAUACACACAUUCAUAUGUGCUGUCAUUUUAAUAUCACCUACAACAUUACCACUCUUUCACUGCUGCCUCAUACGCAUGUGUGAAAUGUACUGUGAGAAAGAAUGUGUAUUCUGCUAGAGUUAACAAUGUAAAUAAAGACUGCUCAAAAAAAAUUCAGACUGAAUCAGAUCGAAUCAGACUAGUAACCUG
ensembl:lncRNA